rnacentral:lncRNA from 1 species
AUUCACUCAAGCUGAGAGUCCAGAAGAACUGGCACAGAAAUCAAUUACAACUUAAAAAAAAAGAAUCAAAAACUCUUAGCGCAUGUAUCACUGGAUUAGAGUUAAGUGACGGCAGUUUGAGCCUUCUCUGGAAGACACUCGUUGAAAAAGUGAAUUCCGGUCACCGUGAUGAUCCUGUGACAUUUCAGAACUGAAGCGCUGAUGGUGCCAUUUACACUUCUGUUACAACCGUGACUCAGCACCAAGAAAAGCGUGUAGGAACAUGGAUUGCAGUGGAGUUUCACUACAGAAUGACUGCAUCCUAGGAAAAAUGUUCUGGAAAACUCCAGUGGGUAUUCAUUCACUCGUUGAUUGAGAAAGACUUCGUUCACAUUUGUCACUUCUGGACCAAGGGAAACAAGCCAUGGCCUCAAGGCCUAAUCUCCCUGUCAGAGGAACUGUGGAGAGAAGAAAUUAGUUAUCAAGGGAAGAAAAUGGAGUGGUAUUUUAACAUCAAGAAGAAAUUAUUGUAACUAAUUCACUUCUUCACAUCUGUCCCUUAGGGCCUUGGCUAUUUACUUUAAAGAACCUGUUCCUUGGUGGAUCCAAGAUCCACCCAUCCUUUUGUGUUUUUAGGUAAGAUUAACUGUGAGGGUUAGUUUUUUUUGUCAACUUGACACAAA